rnacentral:tRNA from 5 species
GGGGACGUAGCUCAGUUGGCAGAGCACCUGCUUUGCAAGCAGGGGGUCGUGGGUUCGAUUCCCAUCGUCUCCACCA